rnacentral:rRNA from 1 species
CCCGCUGAAUUUAAGCAUAUUAAUAAGCGGAGGAAAAGAAACUAACAAGGAUUCCCUCAGUAACGGCGAGUGAAGCGGGAAGAGCUCAAAUUUGAAAUCUCCGAUGCUUGCAUCGGCGAGUUGUAGUUGCGAGAAGCACUUUCUAGGCGGAUCGACGGUGCCUAAGUUGCUUGGAACGGCACGUCGCAGAGGGUGACAACCCCGUCUGUGGCGCCGCCGGCCGCCGACGAUGUGCUUUCGAAGAGUCGGGUUGUUUGGGAAUGCAGCCCAAAACGGGUGGUAAACUCCAUCUAAAGCUAAAUACUGGCGUGAGACCGAUAGCGAACAAGUACCGUGAGGGAAAGAUGAAAAGAACUUUGAAAAGAGAGUUAAAAAGURCGUGAAACCGUCGAAAGGGAAACGAAUGGACUCAGCAAUGCGCCCUCUGAGAUUCAGCCGGUGGGUGGCGGCGGCGCCGGGUUUGCGGAUCUGAAUGGACCGCGGCCUGGCGCCCGCCUCUUCCCGCCGUCGCACUUCUCUGGGGCGCGCGUCAACGUGGGUUGGGACUGGGUCUGAAAGGCGCCGGGAAGGUAGGUGUGGGCCUUCGGGUCCGUUCUGUUACAGCCCGGUUCUCUCAUGGCUCGGGCCCGACCGAGGAGCGACACGGGGCAUGCCUCCUGUGGCUAGGGUCCCGCCCUUCCGGCCGGCUGUCCAGUGCGGUGGACUGCUUGCAGUGCUCCGCGACGGCUGCCGGUCGUUGGGGUGGUGAUCUCGUACCAUGCCCCUAGGAUGUUGGCGGUCAUAUGGGUGC